rnacentral:lncRNA from 1 species
UUCAUACAAAACAAUUACCGAGCGAUUCAUUAAAUAUGGAUUUCAUCAUCUGAAACAUCAGUUACUGCAUCAGUCAGUACAUACCAGGAAAAAACAUAAGAACAAUACACUUUGUACCAAAACAUAUGCAUCCUCUAAAAUCAGAAUUGACAUGGACAAACAAAGGAAUUGUUGACGAACAACACUUGGACGAAGCAAAUCAUUCUAAGCCUACAAUUGAUAAGGUGGCUGAGAACACAUAUGCCUGCCACACAACUCUGUACCGGCCAGCCGCUGAGUGAUGUAUUUAAAUAGGGAUCUCACAAUCUGCAACGAUAGUUAGGAAAGAUUUCAUAAAGAAGAGCAAGGGUAUUACUAAUGGCAGGGCGCAAGCAUUAUUGGCUUCUUGGCAGUCGCUUAAUAUGUCAAUCUUUUGAUCGUCAUCUUCAACCUCCUUACAUUCUGGACAUCUUCUCCUUUAAAUCACUUGAGUGGUCUUCAAAUAGCAUUACCCACGAAGAUAUGCAUCACUACCGCAAGCCACGCCAAUGCAUACACCACAAGAAGGUGCAGCACCACAUCCUCGUCCGUCUCUGCGGUGUCGCGGUUGUGCCUAUCCUGCGAAGCGCCGAGGAGUGACGGCAACCUAGGUUAGGAUCGGCAGCGGCACAGGCACUGCGACAGUAAGAGUUAGGGAAGGACAGGUGCACGAAAGAGGUGGGUCAAAGCAGCGAGGACGUACCUUGAGGACGGCGCUACCCGACCUCCUCCUCCUUGAUGACGAGGAAGCACCAAGGGUAGCUUGAUGCUUGCCGGUGGCCUCCCUGAUGAAUUGGAGCCGAGCACUACAAGGUCAAAGGUGCAGCGCCUCAUGCUUCUCCCGCUGAGCACAGAGGAGAGGGAGGCCAGCUUGGGAGCGAAAGAGCCAGAAGUUGAAUACACAAGUAAUCAACCAAGAAAUGAGAUGCUAUAUGUGAAUAAUAUACAAAUGAGGAGAUGCUAUAUAAAUGACCUGCAGCGCGCCUUGCCGUGCGGUGCUGGGGCAGACUGUUGUGCCUAAGCAUGUGUGCCAGCCAGGCAAACUUAGCAUGUUUACUGGCUGAUGAUAAAGCAGAAGCAUUUAUCCUGAUUAAUAACAAUAGUAGUUGAGCUCCUAUUCGCCGCCAGGUU